rnacentral:misc_RNA from 1 species
GGCCUGCAUUUUUUUUUUCGAAAACAAUGUUAGCGAAAAACGAUGCAAGAGGCGAUUAUGGUGGAGGUUACAGCGGAACUUACAGAAACAUCGACGGUUGAGACGGCUAGUAGAAGGAGAAAACAGAGAAGGCGAGCGUAAAAUGCCAUAUUUUUGUGAGGAAAUGCGAAGCUUUGGACUAUGCGGGUAGAGAUUGAAAUUUAAAAUGGUUAAAGUAGGAAGGAGACGUGGCUUUACUGUUUUUUCAUUGGAGCGUUCUGAAGAUAUUAUCUGUGGUACCCUGGUUAAUGGUAGAUUGGUAAUUUAGAUUCUUGAGUGUGGGCAAUAAAGGAAAUACAAAAUAUCCAUGUGUUAGUAAGGUUUGUUUGGUUCCAGUUUUCAUAGUAUGAAAUAAUU